rnacentral:rRNA from 1 species
AGUCACUGACAUUAGAUACCCCCUGUAGUCCAGGGUGUAAACGCUGCAGACUUGGUGUUGGAAGUCCUUUGGGGGCAUUCAGUGCCCGGAGAGAAGUUAUUAAGUCUGCUACUUGGGAGUACGUCCGCAAGGAUGAAACUUAAAGGAAUUGGCGGGGGAGCACCGCAACGGGAGGAGCGUGCGGUUUAAUUGGAUUCAACACCGUAAAACUCACCAGGGAAGACUGUUACAUGAAGGCCGAGAUGAAGACUCUGCUAGAUUUUCAG